rnacentral:lncRNA from 1 species
AAAUGGAAAGAGGAAUUUGGAGGCGAGAGAGAAAUGCUUAAAAAGAUGAUAGGCAAUAAAAUAUCAUAAUCCAACCAUGGACUCUUGUCUCCAAUACAAUUAAAUUAUGACUAUAUAAACAGGUGUUGGGUGAGAACAAAUGUUCUAAAUAACGAUCUUGUUUUUCACUAACAGAGGUGAAGGGGCAAGUCACCAGAGCCAAUAUAAAUACAUGGGAGUCAUUAGCAGAGAGGCCAAAAGUGAGGAGGACAGAUGUUCAGGAAAACAUGGGAAGAAGAGAGAGAGUGGUAUUUUGGCCAGAAAACUUCCAUCAUAGACCUCGCAAUCUCUCUCCUUUUUCUUUUUCUGCAUUAUCCAGCUUCACACCCAACGAGCUUCAUCAUUCAUUCUUUCCAUUGAGGAAUUUCUGUGAAGAUUUCAACACUAACUACGCUACACUGGACUGUACCAUCUUAUACCCAAGAGUUGGCAGUUAUGAUACUGAU